rnacentral:rRNA from 1 species
AUUGAACGCUGGCGGCAGGCCUAACACAUGCAAGUCGAGCGAGCGGCGGACGGGUGAGUAAUGUCUGGGAAACUGCCUGAUGGAGGGGGAUAACUACUGGAAACGGUGGCUAAUACCGCAUACCAUCGGAUGUUCCCAUAUGGGAUUAGCUUGUAGGUGGGGUAACGGCUCACCUAGGCGACGAUCCCUAGCUGGUCUGAGAGGAUGACCAGCCACACUGGAACUGAGACACGGCCCAGACUCCGACGGGAGGCAGCAGUGGGGAAUAUUGCACGAUGGGCGCAAGCCUGAUGCAGCCAUGCCGCGUGUAUGAAGAAGGCCUUAGGGUUGUAAAGUACUUUCAGCGGGGAGGCGUUACCCGCAGAAGAAGCACCGGCUAACUCAGUGCCAGCAGCCGCGGUAAUAC